UACGAAGGGAGCUAGCGUUGCUCGGAAUCACUGGGCGUAAAGGGUGCGUAGGCGGCCGUGCAAGUCUGGCGUGAAAGCCCCGGGCUCAGCCCGGGAAGUGCGCUCGAAACUGCGCGGCUCGAGUGCCGGAGGGGAGAGUGGAAUUCCUGGUGUAGCGGUGAAAUGCGUAGAUAUCAGGAGGAAGACCGGUGGCGAAGGCGACUCUCUGGACGGCAACUGACGCUGAGGCACGAAAGCGUGGGGAGCAAACAGG
rnacentral:rRNA from 1 species